rnacentral:rRNA from 1 species
AUCUUGCACAAUGGGGGCAACCCUGAUGUAGCGACGCCGCGUGAGCGAUGAAGGCCUUCGGGUCGUAAAGCUCUUUUCCAGGUGACGAGGAAGGACGGUAGCCUGGGAAGAAGUCUCGGCUAACUACGUGCCAGCAGCCGCGGUAAAACGUAGGAGGCGAGCGUUAUCCGGAGUUACUGGGCGUAAAGCGCAAGCAGGCGGUUGGGCAAGUUGGGUGUGAAAGCGUGCGGCUAAACUGCACGAGGCCAUUCAAGACUGCCCGGCUGGAGGACGGUAGAGGGGCGCAGAAUUCGGGGUGUAGCGGUGAAAUGUGUAGAGAUCCCGAGGAAUACCAGUGGGGAAGCCGGCGCCCUGGGCCGUACCUGACGCUGAGAUGCGAAAGCGUGGGGAGCGAACGGG